rnacentral:lncRNA from 1 species
CCAUAUAUAUAAUUGUUUCACAUCACACACAUAUGCAUUUAUAUCACACGAACAAUAAACUGGACACCAAUCAUCGGCAAGUACAAAAUAUGUGUGAUAUAUAUAGCUAGUUCUUACACGUCAACAAAAGUGACACUAAAUUGUUCUACUUCUUGCAGAUUAAUAGAGAACAACCAAACAAGCACAAGUCUGAAUAACACAAGGUCUAACACGUCUCUGAUACAUAGAAAUUACACACACACACACACACAGAGAGAGAGAGAGAGAGAGAGAGAGAGAGCAGCAGUAGCAGGAUUGGGAAAGAAGGAGGAGUAGCAAGGUUUUUGGAAGAUGAGGAGCAGCAAGGGAAUUUGAGAGAAGGUGUAGCAAGAGAGAGGAGCAGCGGCAGUUCAGCAGAGAGGCUGAGAGGAGCAACAGUAGUUGUAGUUCAGAGCAGUAGCAGCGUGGAGGGUUGAGAGAGCAGAAGGAGCACACUGAGAAGAGAUAAGAAGAGCAAGAGCGGGGCAGUAGGGAGAUCAAGAGAAAGAGCAGCAAGAGAUUGAGAAAGAAGCAGCAGUAAGGGCAUGGAGAGAAAGCAGAAGCAGGGGCGUGGAGAAGAGGUGCUGGUCGCGCGGCGGAUUAGACAGGCCAUCUGGUGGCUUGUGUGAUCUGGUGCUGGUGAUGGUGGAUGGAUGGUGUAGUGAAGAUGGAGGCGCUGUAGUGUUCGGUGGUGAGGUGGCGGAGUUGGUGGUGCUGCUGGAUGGAUGGGUCACGGAGGCGCACCACCACACCGGCCUGGCCGUGGCGGCGGCCGGAGGUGGAGAAGAAAGGGAUCGGGGGAGAGAGAUGAGAUGCCAGGCCUGAUGGGGAAUGGAGGCGUGCUAGGGAUUUUGAUCCCCCAUGAUCUGAUCUGUCUUUUUUUACUUUGGCCCUCCUCCUUUCUUCUUUCUUCACAAGUAGAUCCUCUCUUCUAUAGUUGCCCCCUGGCUACUUCGUUUCUUCUCGCACAUGUCCAUUCUUCCUCCUCUUCUUCGUUCUCUUAGCCACUUAGUCCGGAUCUUGAAGAUUUAUAGUGCCUUUGCGCACAUUUCUGCAAAAUAGACCAACGACUAGUAAAUGAUACUUUAUAUGAUUUUCAUGCAAAUAUUCAAUAUUUCACAGCAAGAAUUGAUGGUCAUAUCUCAAUAAAUAAUAUAUUUCUAUGCCAAAAUUGUAUAUAUGAAAUGUGCUUAUCAAGUUCCCCCACACUUAAACUUUUGCUUGUCCUCAAGCAAAGGCAUAUGACAAGAGCAAGAAUGUGAACAGUGAGCUGACUAGAGAAUACCAAGUGAAGUAGAUGCCUAAACAGUGCAUGCUUUGGACUUAGCUAGUGAAAAUUAAUGGUUAGGAGUGCUUCAAAGCGGUAAGAUACUAGUAAGCAUGACCAUUUUAAACUUUUACAAUGAUAAAAGAGGAUCAACAAGUUUAAAUGAUGACUGCGCCAAAUGGUUCCUAAAGAGAGCAUGAUCCCGAGAACAAAAAGAACUGGAAUUAAAUCUCUUAUUUGCAGAAAUAUAACUUUGUGGUUGACCCACUUAUUGAAUUUGAAAGAAACACACAUAUUAUUUCAUUAGUCUCACCGAAGGAACAUACCACCGAUCCCGAGAACAUGGUAUACACCUGGCUCAACCAAUUUUUAUUAAUUUUUCUGUUUGUCUCCCCAAAGGAACAUACCACCGUUGCCGGGGAAUCAAAAUGAUCAAUUGUAAUAUAGCGGGGUUUUUACGCCCCAAACUACGAGUGUCGUGUUCUCCACAGGGACUAGGUGACGACGACUAUGCUCGGCUAAAGCUAGGUAGCAAGAUAUUGGGUGAUGAAAGCGGAAAAUAAAACCUAAACUAACAAGGUUAUUCCUGAAGAUCGCCGCCAAAGGAAAUGCAAAAUAAGCAAAGGGGAGGUUCAGAUUGUCUAUAUUGUCUUUUUGGUGUUUCCCUAUUACUUGAGAAAUUAAAAUGCUAACACAAAAGGAAACAACAGGACAUGAACACAUAUAUUUAUCUAACAAGCGUAUGACAGAGGGAAGAAACAAGAUAAUAGACAGGGAUGAAAAUGCUUCAUGUCACAACAUAUAUUAUAGGUGCAGAGCUAAUACAUAGACUGAAAAUUGAAUGAUCACACAACUGGCUACCACAGAGAGUAAUUUCAAUACAAAAUAAAAUCACGAAUAGUAACAUGAAUUUUUUAUAGUGAGCUAGCUGACAUGAUUUACAUCACAAAACACACAUGUAUUUAUAUAGCACAUGUACUGGAGCUAACACAUUGACAACUGAAUAAAUUUAUGCAGUAAGGAACAAACACAUAAGGGAUCCCACACAUACAGUAGCAGAAUACUAAUUAACAGAUGACAAGUAUGAACUGAACAUAUAGCAGGUUACAGGCACUUAGAUAAUCUGAAUAUUACAAAGCUUCUUACUACUCCUAUUACAGAAAAUUCAGAGAAUAUAGAGAGGGGGAAGAGAUAUAGCAGCAGAGGAGGUAAGGAGGAAGAGUAGCUGUGAGGGGAAGGGAGUAGUAGUGGCAGUUGAAAGAAGAAGCCGCAGGGCGCAGCAAUGGAGGAGCAGCAGCGGGACUUGGAGAAGAGGAGGCAGCAGCAGGAGGUCGAGGAGAAGAAGGAAGAUGCAGCAAUUUUAUGAUUCAGAAAAGAACAGUAGCAGAGGACAUGGGAAGAGGGAGCAGCAGCGGGGGCAUGGAGAGGCAGUAGGUUGAGGCGCCAGGAGAGGAGAUGUAGCAGCAAGAGAUGGAGAAGGGCAGAAGAAUCAGCAGGGUGGAGGCGCACGGAGGAAAGAGAGCUCGCGCGAGGGAUCAGACGCCUCCGCGACCUCGUGUCUGAUGGGGCGCGCGAGGUGGCGCUUGGUGCUGAGGGCGGUGGUGGCCGGAGGCGCUGGUGGGUGAUGGUGAGAUGGUGAUGCUGGUGGAUGGAUGAGUUGCGAAGGCGCACCACCACGUCGGCCUGGCCGUGGCGGCGGCCUGAGGUGGGAGAAGAAGUGGUCAGGGAGAGAGAUGUGUGCCAGGCCCGAAGGGAUCGAAGGAGAUGGCUAGGGAUUUU